ACCCACUUUCGUCUCUGCUC
rnacentral:sRNA from 1 species